rnacentral:lncRNA from 1 species
AUGAACCCUAGUACUGUGGCUCUGGAGCCCACAUGCUGGGCACUAUACUACAGCUGUCCAGCAACACUCCACAAAAGGCACAGGAUGGAGAGAAGAGGAAAGAGAAGAAAAUCAUCCAUGACAAGUAGCAGCUGUCAAAUAGGAAGCUUCAUGCUCCGGGAAAAGCGAAAUCUGCCACCAUGCGAACUCAUGUACUACAGGUUCAAGUACACUUUUCUUCUGUAGGGAAAUUGGAAAGACUGAAAUGAGCUCACCCAUCAGUGUUACCUCCAGCCUUCCUUGCUUUGUGGUCUUCUAC